AUUUAACCUAAAAGUUGCGCUAGGGAUUGCAGCGAAUAGCUUUUGGCGAGGCGCGCAUCGAGCCAAAACUUGUAGCGUAAAGCCCGACCCUUU
rnacentral:sRNA from 1 species